UACGAAGGGGGCUAGCGUUGUUCGGAUUUACUGGGCGUAAAGCGCACGUAGGCGGAUCGUUAAGUCGGGGGUGAAAUCCUGGAGCUCAACUCCAGUACUGCCUUCGAUACUGGCGAUCUUGAGUCCGGAAGAGGUGAGUGGAACUCCUAGUGUAGAGGUGGAAUUCGUAGAUAUUAGGAAGAACACCAGUGGCGAAGGCGGCUCACUGGUCCGGUACUGACGCUGAGGUGCGAAAGCGUGGGGAGCAAACAGG
rnacentral:rRNA from 1 species